rnacentral:lncRNA from 1 species
GCUCUGUGUGUAUCUCUUGUUGUUGAGUUCUCUGCAAACUGGGCAUCCUUCAGCAUCAUGGAUUCCCACCUUGACCUGGCCAGGUUACACCACAAUCAUCAAAGUUCAGGGCUGUCAGGUAUCUUCCCUGCUAACACAGUUGCCUUGUUGAUCUCUAUGUCCUUCUCCCUCACCCUCAUCCAAUAUUUCACCAUCCUUCUUUAUCCCUUUUCUGUCUCCAACCUUUUGUUUUCCUCUUCCUGGUCUCCUUUACGUCUUCAUUCUCUCCCAUGGCUUCCUCCGUGCCUCUUAUCCCACCCACAUGCUCUGGGUCUUCUGCUAACAUUGUCCCCUAGCUUUCCUGCCCACGGUAACAUCUUCCACCUUGUCCCUCCCGACUCUCUUGCCACAAUAUGCUUCUGCCUCUGUCUCUCUCUCUCUCUCUGCAGAUAUAUGAGUAUCGGAAUGGCCACCAGGAAGUGGA